GGGUGUUUAGCGCAGUGGUAGCGCGUUCGCUUUGCAUUCGCUCAUGCGAAAGGCCGGGAGUUCGAUCCUCCCAACAUCCA